GGAAUAUUGCACAAUGGGCGCAAGCCUGAUGCAGCCAUGCCGCGUGUAUGAAGAAGGCCCUCGGGUUGUAAAGUACUUUCAGUCGGGAGGAAGGCGUUGAUGUUAAUACCAUCAACGAGUGACGUUACCGACAGAUGAAGCACCGGCUAACUCCGUGCCAGCAGCCGCGGUAAUACGGAGGGUGCAAGCGUUAAUCGGAAUUACUGGGCGUAAAGCGCACGCAGGCGGUUAAUUAAGAUAGAUGUGACAUCCCCGGGCUUAACCUGGGAAUGGCAUCUAAGACUGGUUAGCUAGAGUCUUGUAGAGGGGGGUAGAAUGCCAUGUGUAGCGGUGAAAUGCGUAGAGAUGUGGAGGAAUACCGGUGGCGAAGGCGGCCCCCUGGACAAAGACUGACGCUCAGGUGCGAAAGCGUGGGGAGC
rnacentral:rRNA from 1 species